GGGAACCUCAAGUCGAAGAACAUCUUGGUUGACGAGAACUUCGAGCCACAUCUAUCCGACUUUGGCCUCCAUUUGCUCAUGAACGCUGCGGCAAGCAACGAGAUGAUCACUGCUCAAGCUACGCAAGGCUACAAGGCGCCGGAGCUUACCAGGAUCAAGAAAGCCAACACCAAGACCGACAUCUACAGCUUCGGGAUCAUCCUGCUGGAGCUCCUGACAGGGAAAAAACCCGGAAACUUAGCCGCCGGAGACAACGAUAGCGUCACGGUGGUGGACUUACCCACAUUGGUGAAAACCGCAGUGAUCGAGGAGAGGACGGCCGAGCUGUUUGAUCUCGAUCUGCUACGAGGAUUGCGGAGCCCGAUGGAGGACGGCCUCCUCCAAGCCCUUCAGCUGGCCAUGGGAUGCUGCGCGCCAUCGCCGGCGGUACGCCCGGACAUCAAGGAGGUCAUCCGGCAGCUGGAAGAGAUCAGGCCAAAGAUCCACUCCCCAAUCUUCACGCCGGUGUCGCAUUCUCGAAACUCGCCCCGGAUUCCACUGUCGCCGCUGAGAGACGCAUCGUGAGAGAGGAAUAGCGCGCCCUAGUUGGAAUAGAAAGAAAUUUCUCACCUCUUUGUGCCAAAACCCUAAUCUAGAUUUCUUAGAUGGAAGUUUGAUUUAUUCUUUGGAGGGAAAAUCUUCUCUCUCCGCUCCAAAAAAAGAAAAAAGAAGUUCCAGGAGAAGAUUCCAAUAAUUUCCCAAGACGCGGCAGCCCUUGUGCCUGGUACGUCCUUGACAAUGUUUCUUUCUUCAUUAAAUUUCACUGUUCUUCGUUAUUGCCGUGGUGGCAUAUGCGUAUCGUAACGCCUGGAGCCAAAAAACCAUUUCUCUGCGCUGCGCUCCAUCGUCCAACCAGCAAACCUACUGUCAGCGACACGAUAGCGGCGAGAAGACCAAACCAUUUGUCUUGAGCUCCA
rnacentral:lncRNA from 1 species